CAAGAAGCUUCGCAAGAAGAGCCAAUGGAUUAUGAAGAGCAAGAAGCUUCGCAAGAAGAGCCAAUGGAUUAUGAAGAGCAAGAAGCUUCGCAAGAAGAGCCAAUAGAUUAUGAAGUAUCCGUCCAUCCACCCAUCUAUUACCUAUCCCCGCCCAUCCGGGUCAGGGUCACGGUGGGUGCUGGAGCCAAUCCCAGCAUGCAUUAGGCCAGAGGCAGGAAUACACCAUGGACAGGUCUGCAAACUAUUGCAGGGGGACCCAGAGCUGAGAAGGACAGACCCACAAAGACAGCCCCUGGCACAGGAGCAAAACGAAAUGGAGCUGGAAGACAGGAAUGACGCUCAGUAGAGCCCUCCCCUCGGUCCGUGGAGACACAGGGCCAGGAUGCCAGGGAUGGGGCUGCAGGCCGAGGGGCUGAGGAUGCGGAU